rnacentral:rRNA from 1 species
UACGUAGGGGGCUAGCGUUGUCCGGAAUCAUUGGGCGUAAAGCGCGUGUAGGCGGUCCGGUAAGUCCGCUGUGAAAGCCAGGGGCUCAACCCUUGGAUGCCGGUGGAUACUGUCGGGCUUGAGUACGGAAGAGGCGAGUGGAAUUCCUGGUGUAGCGGUGAAAUGCGCAGAUAUCAGGAGGAACACCAAUUGCGAAGGCAGCUCGCUGGGACGGUACUGACGCUGAGACGCGAAAGCGUGGGGAGCGAACAGG